rnacentral:rRNA from 1 species
UACGAAGGGGGCGAGCGUUAUUCGGAAUCACUGGGCGUAAAGCGUGCGUAGGCUGUUCGGCAAGUUGGAAGUGAAAGCCCAGGGCUCAACCCAGGAAUUGCUUUCAAAACUGCCGAACUAGAGUCCGGGAGAGGAUAGCGGAAUUUCCAGUGUAGUAGUGAAAUACGUAGAUAUUGGAAGGAACACCAGUGGCGCAAGCGGCUAUCUGGACCGGUACUGACGCUGAGGCACGAAAGCGUGGGGAUCAAACAGG